GGUUUCAUACCCAAGCUAAGAGACUUCCAGGGAGGAACUUUGUUGACGAUGCACAACCUUAGCUGUUUGUCUGCUCAAGGCAUCUGUGAGAGAAAUCUCACUGUCUUUCUUGCUGCCCUUAAGAACAAAUAACAAAGAAAUUCAUAUAGAAUUUCUUUAUCUCACUGCUUUUCCGCUCUUGGUAGAAAUCCGUUAGCAAAUUCAUUUGCUCUUGUAUGCUCUCCUCGCCUUCCCAGCGGCUGUUCUCUUCUCUGCCUUUGUGGCCUUGCGAGCCCUCCCCUUUUAUUUUUGUCUCUGCAACCUCACGGCUGCCUCCUCCAAAUAUUUUCACAGCCGUGCUUUUUGUAGGCUUGCUAUCAGAGAUCACUUCUGUGGAGUACUCUUCAUGCAGUAAUCACCUCACCAAAACAGAAACCACCAAACUCUCUUGAAAGUUUUCAUUGGUUGGUCAAACUCCUGUAUUUAUUUAUUUUUUUUAAACUCCUUUAGGAUAUUUUCACGUGGAAUUGAAUUGCUUUAUCCCUUGGCUUUGAAACUUGAAAAGCCUAUUGGAUAAUUGGCUUUAUUAUUUUUUUGGAAACACUUAUCAUCUAUAUUAGAUAAGCUUGCUGGACGUGGGCUUAGGCAAAUGCAAUCCAAUUUUUUUUUUUGUGAAUUUUUUUUUUUUGUUUUUGGUUCAACAGAUGCCCCCUCAAGCAUUGUGCGUGAAACAACUCUUUGAGUGCAAGGCUUGAUUACUUUUCUAGACAAGGAUUGGCUUUUCUUUUGCUUUUUGCUUCAACCAUUCACAGUUUAUACUCGUGUGGGCGAGGAGUUCUUGUGUAGCAGUUUAACCACAUGCUUUUCAUUUGGUGGAUAAAAAAUGGAUUAUGAUAUUUUGCGGCUGCAUCCAGCUUUUAGGCUAGAUUGCCUAUGCACCUCGUAGUUCUUUUGCUUGGGCUUCCCUUUCAGUUUUUAGCCCACAUAGCAUUUGUAUUUUAAGCUCUAACUUUUGCUUGAACUGCCUUAUGGGGUUUUCAGUCGAACGGGCACUUUUUUCUUUUUCUUUUUUUUUAUUUUUAUUUUUUAUUUUUAUUUAUUUAUUUUUUUUAGCUCUAAUUUUUGCUUGGACUGCCCUUCCGGGUUUUCAACCCAACGAGCUCUUUUUUUUUAUAACAAACAGUUUAUACUCAUGUGAAUUGGAGUUCUUGUGUAGUAUACAGUAGUUUUACCACGUGCUAACACCAUUGGUGGAAAAUUUAUGGUUACAGCUAGCUUUUGAGCUUGCUUGCCUACGUCUCUUUUUAUUUGAGGUAAAGAAAGAGACAUUUGAGAUUUGCGACUGCAUCUAGCUUUUAGGACUAAAUUGCCUACGUACCCUUUUU
rnacentral:lncRNA from 1 species